rnacentral:lncRNA from 1 species
AAAAGAUUUAAGCCUAAAGAAGCCAGGCAAGACCAUUUAGUUCCUUACCAUAGUCCCUCUCUCAGAGACUACAUUAAUUUUCAUUUGUUGGCCAGAAAAAUACCUGGCCAAAUACCUAGAGAAAUCAGUGUAUGAAGAUGGCACAGUUUGGUGGAAACACUCUGGCUUAGACUCAGGCUCUGGAGGCUCAAGUCAUGCCCCCACAUUUAGAAUCCUGUAUUGUUUACCUAGUUAUUUGACAUUCUGGCCUUAGUUUUGUCAUCUGUAAGAUGGAGGCAAUAAUACCUGCACAGUUUAUGGAGUUAUUAGGUGGCCCCAAGCAGGCGAUGGAGGGUACUUUGCAAGGUGAUACACAAAAGUGAGAAAUGACCGGGCCUCCCGUCUGUCCAAGGACAAGCAUGGUAAUUAAUUCUAACUUAGAAAACACUGGCUUCCUAUACAUUCUCCCAAUGUAACCAUUCCAUGGAUGAUGGCUCCAGCUUCCGGCAGGGUCUGCUGUGUGCACGGAGCACCCGUCAGCCUGGAGCAGACCUGAGACGCUGGCACAAGAACUGUCAUCUGGAGAAGCGUCACCUCCUGUCCGGCUGAGGUUCCACGGGGCUUCUGCCAGAGACCUGAAUAAAUGUUAUAGAACAGCCCAAUCUCACUGUCCUCCUUUGUCUUCCAGAAGCCCUUGCCCUGUCCUGAGCUUACUGACAUGGCCAAAAGACUGAAAAUGCUAACAAGACAGGGAGCCCCCCAUCUGCAAAUCCUGUUCUUACCCAUCAAGCUAAGCCAGCACCUGUACUUGUUCCAGGUUGAGCCCAACAGCAGCCUCAUAUCCUAAGGCACAGCUCGCUGAGUUCUGAGCCCUCCCAAGGGAAGGUCUUAACCCUAGCUCAUCCAUUUCCAAAGCUGAGGCCAUGAGCCAAGUGUCCCAGGAUGCUCUCCACUCUGCCCACAGAGCGAGGUCGCUGGUCUCUGAAGCAAGUCCCAGGUUUCC